CCUACGGGUGGCAGCAGUAGGGAAUCUUCCACAAUGGACGAAAGUCUGAUGGAGCAACGCCGCGUGAGUGAAGAAGGGUUUCGGCUCGUAAAGCUCCGUUGGUAGUGAAGAAAGAUAGAGGUAGUAACUGGCCUUUAUUUGACGGUAAUUACUUAGAAAGUCACUGCUAACUACGUUCCAGCAGCCGCGGUGAUACGUAGGUGGCAAGCGUUGUCCCGAUUUAUUGGGCGUAAAGCGAGUGCAAGCGGUCCAAUAAGUCUGAUGUGAAAGCCUUCGGCUCAACCGGGGAAUUGCAGCAGAAACUGGUGAACUUGAGUGCAGAAGAGGAGAGUGGAACGCCAGGUGUAGCGGUGGAAUGCGUAGAUAUAUGGAAGAACACCAGUGGCGAAGGCGGCUCUCUGGUCUUCAACUGACGCUGAGGCUCGAAAGCAUGGGUAGCGAACAGGAUUAGAUACCCUGGUAGUC
rnacentral:rRNA from 1 species